AAAAUGCGAUAAGUAAUGUGAAUUGCAGAAUUCAGUGAAUCAUCGAAUCUUUGAACGCACAUUGCGCCCCGUGGCAUUCCGCGGGGCAUGCCUGUUCGAGCGUCGGUCACGACCCCUCCGCCCCCGGUGUGAAAGCGCCGGCGGGCGGGCCUUGGGCGCUGUUCCCCCGGGGCUCCCCGGGGGCGCCCUCAAUGCGUUGGCGGCGGCGACGAGCCCCAGACGUAGCGGAUCGCAAGAUGUCGUCUGUGCGGGUUCGGGCGCGCGCCCGCUUCGAGACCCCCCUCAGUACCAACGUUCUGACCUCGGAUCAGGUAGGGAUACCCGCUGAACUUAA
rnacentral:misc_RNA from 1 species